CAUAUCUCUCUUACGGGAAGGAUGAGAAGCUUCGACUAAGGUUCGAUUCGAGCGCGUUGCCGCAGGCAACGACCCGAAGGGCGAAGCGCGCAGCGCUGAGUCAUCCUUCCCCCACCACCA
rnacentral:sRNA from 2 species